rnacentral:snRNA from 1 species
AGCUGCGUGGUGAGCACAAAGCGAACUAUUCUUUCGCCUUUUACUAAAGAAUACCGUGUGCUCUCCACAUUCAGCAGCAUACACCAAUUUUUUUAGGGUUUUUCCAUUUGUGGAGAAA